GAUGAACGCUGGCGGCGUGCCUAAUACAUGCAAGUCGAGCGAACAGACGAGGAGCUUGCUCCUCUGACGUUAGCGGCGGACGGGUGAGUAACACGUGGAUAACCUACCUAUAAGACUGGGAUAACUUCGGGAAACCGGAGCUAAUACCGGAUAAUAUAUUGAACCGCAUGGUUCAAUAGUGAAAGACGGUUUUGCUGUCACUUAUAGAUGGAUCCGCGCCGCAUUAGCUAGUUGGUAAGGUAACGGCUUACCAAGGCAACGAUGCGUAGCCGACCUGAGAGGGGGAUCGGCAAAAUGGGAAGAGAGAAAGGGUCCAAACCCCAAGGGGAGGCAGAAGUAGGGAAUUUUCCGAAAGGGGCGAAAGCCUGACGGAGAAACGCGGGGGGAGUGAUGAAGGGUUUCGGAUCGAAAAACUUUUUUAUUAGGGAAAAAAAAAUGUGUAAGUAAAGAUGCAGGUUUUGAGGGGACCAAAUAAAAAAGCCACGGAAAACUACGU
rnacentral:rRNA from 1 species